UUCCGGGUCCUCGAGGGUACAGAGAGCAGAAAUGCCAGAGUCCCGUGCCUGGGAGGGUGGGGCUCCCCUGGCCUCCUGGAGCUUGCAGACAGCCCUGGCCACGCCUCCUCACAGCCUGGGGUAGGGGGUCCGGAUGCUCUGCCUGCCCCUCAGUGCCGGAUUGUGCUGGAGGUUGCUGCAGAUGAGAGCGGCGAUGGGACCAGGGUCCAGAGCAAUGGAGGCUCCGUGCCUGGGAGCGGGUUCUGCCGGCUGCGGAAGGAUAGGGGUGGCACAGUCAGCCGCCUUGGGGACACAGGACAUAGGGGACCCACCACCGCCACUGCCGCUCCCGCAGCAGCUCGUGCCGCCACCACCCACGCCUCCUUGCUGCAGCCAGCGUGACGACAGCGGCUGCUCCGGACCACCCGCAAGCGGCCAUCACGGUGUCCCUUCAGUACUGUGUGUCCUUGGUGCUGCUGAGCUCUGUCUGGCUCUCUGAUCGUUUCAACACCUGGCACCCCUGGAGAGGCUACCGAGGAGAGAAUGCGGGUGAGCUGCCACCAGUGGAGCUCUGAGGUUAUCACAGCCUGAUAAACGAACUCACAGGACACUCCCAAUCCAAUACGGCGCUGAUGGGGUUUAAGACACUGAUGCAGAUGAGAAGCACAACUGCACAGCAUAUGUACUUCUAGUGAGAAUUCAUCAAAUAUCCCAGGCAUGGCUUCCAGACCCCACCACUGUGUGGCCCAUGCUUGUUUGUGAAAGGUGAGUCAAAUAUGUGAGGAUUCUUCAGCACAAGGAAGCUGGCAUUGCAUAUGAAUCAUGUGGAUCCUUCCUGGGCGUGUGACCUGCUCUGUUUCACUGCAGCCCAUCACAUGAGUUACAUCAUAUGGUAAGGAAUCUCAACAACCAGGUUCUGUUGCUCUCAGUAUCCUCAGAACAUUGCACAGAACUUGGCAACCUUUAAAAUAUGCCUCAUUUAUGAUCAGUUGAGCAGGUUCUUCAUCUAGGUAGUGUGAUCCAUUUGGACAUCUCUGGGUCCGUAGAUGAGUUUGACAGUCCAGCUGAUGAGGCCUCUCCCUUCAGUGAAACGGACCGCACUUCCCCCUCAUGUUUAUUUUUCUUCAUCCUUCACAAUAUCACCCAUGGGUUGUGAAUAUAUACCAGAUGUUUUAAUAGGUGUGAUACAGAGAAUUCUAUAAAAUAAACACUGCAAUAUUCGUUUUUUCAUGAAAAAUUCACCCAAGAUGUUAAACCCUUCGCAGAAUCAGAUAUGCCCAGUGUUUAAUCUUGCUUCAUUCCCUUCAUGCCCACAUCGUUCUGAAAAUUCUUCUUCUAACCCGUUUCUAUAACUAGUAAUCAAAUUUCUAGAAAGCCUAAUCCCUACCCAUGAGACUGAAUUUCACCCUGACCUUCAUCACGCUACAUCCAGCAGCACUGACUUCCACCAGUUUGUUUCAAUAUUCCUCUUUGCUACCUAUGAGCCACCUGCUUAGCCUUACAAAUCUCCCAUGGGAAAACAUUAAUUUUUCAGAAUCAGUAAAGCCUGUGUUGAUGAGAAGAAACAUAUAGUUUAAGCCGUGAUAAUUUGCAAGAUUGCCUCUCUCACCAUGGAAUUAGUGUCUCGCCUUAUUGGGCAGAGCACUAUCAAUUUCUUUUCUACAUUCUCCCUUUCAAUUCUGCCUCCUUAUUGUACAUAAAAAUAAGCAAUAGGCUUAAGAGUGAGUCACACACUUUUCAAUUGCCUCCUACUGGAUGCUUUAACAUUUUGAUGAAAUCCUCAGGCCAGCAGUUCAGUAACAGAAGUCAGCAUGCAUUAGAAAAAAAACCAAUAUUUUAUUUAAACAACAUUCCUUGAAUUUUCCUCUUACGAAUAGAAAAAAAAAGCUGGAUCAAAGAUAAUCUAAGAUAAUUCUCACCAUAUGAACACAAAGAGAUGCAAUAUCAUUAUGAUAAUUGAGGUGAAUUUUUCUCUAUAUAGCUUAGCUUUAUUCCAAAAAAGGAAUCCUGCCUUAUGCAGAAAAUCUUCUUAAUUUUUAUUCAUGUACAGAAAUUGAAAAAUGUUUAAUUUUGAGUAAGCUUUCUUCUAAAAAAUGUUUAGAUUCAGUGUUCUGACGUAAGGGAGAUUAUGAUUUUUAGUGGAUGUUUUUGCAGUGAUAUAGGUUCUCUUCCAAGGCUUCUUCCGUAGAAAUCAGAAAAGGACCAAAAAUUGUUUACUUUGCAGGCAAAUCCAAUGAUAAAUAGCAAUUUAAUAUCUGCUAUGCGCAUAAGCUAUAUUUACUUUAAAAGCAUGGGUACUAGCAAAUUUUCAUACUAAGAUACAGGGUUUAGGAAUGAAGUUAAAGACACAGUACUAUUUAAUGCGAAGUUUUUUUGAAAGCUGCUAAGAAAAGAAUAUUCAAAAUUCCUUUAGAAGUUCAUCAUCUUCUCAUUUAUUUUCAUGAAUAAAGUUUGUUCUUUAAAUAUUUUAUGUGAAGCUUGUUUCACACUUUCAUUUCUCAGGCUAGAAAUCAAGGAGUUCAAGGAGAUGGUCACACACAAGUUCGGUCUCUGAAUCACAGAAUCGCAGAGAGCUCUCGGUCUGAGCUUCUGUCCAUGGCCACAAAGAGUUGCAGACUGCAGGUUGAGCAAUGCAGGUUGAGAAAGCAAAGAGGUGAGCAAGGCAGGUUGAGAAAGCUCCAUGCACACUGUCUGCAGAGAUAAUUUUUGGUAUGUCAAUUUCAUUGCAGAUAUAAGAUAUGGAAAUAAUGGAAAAGAGAGAGAAAGAGAGAGAGAGACUAAGAGAGAGACAGAGAGAGAGACCGGCAUAGGGCUUAGUAUAUGCUUGCAUAGGUCACAGUUUGACUUCAGGAAUGUGAUGGGAAUGACAGCCAUAACUUCGUUGGCACAGGAUUAGGGUAGCUGCCUAAUAUAGCAUCAGGAGAUUGACAUGUAGCUAGCAGCCUCUCCAGGGCCCUGUGGUGAGCAGUAUAUACAGUUUGUGUGUAAUGGUGUGCAUACCUUGCAGUGGAUAUCCAAUGGCAAUAAAAGGGUGGCACUGUGUCAGUGAAUGCAAGAAGAUCUCGGGGCAGUACAGGCAAGGAAAGGAGAAAACAUGGACAGCAGCACCCUGAACAUUGAUGGCUCAUUUCUGCGUUGAAGGUAAAGCAAUAAUUGAAGACAAACUCAUGCCAAUCACAAUGAUAUUUUUCAAGGAAAAAAAUACAUGCAUGAUGUGUGAAAUCCCAAGGAACAAACAAGGGUCCUGAAUAUAACAUUUCCCAAAAGGGUACAAAAUUUAUAAGAUAUAAUCAGGAUAAUGAAAUACAAUCUCCAGCCCUCAGCCAUUCACAGUAACAAAC
rnacentral:lncRNA from 1 species